AGGCCCAUAGUUCAAUGGCAGAACACUGGUCUCCAAAACCAGGAAUGGGGGUUCGAAUCCCUCUGGGCCUGCCA
rnacentral:tRNA from 2 species